UAGGGAAUAUUGCACAAUGGGCGCAAGCCUGAUGCAGCUAUGCCGCGUGGAGGAUGAAGGCCUUCGGGUCGUAAACUCCUUUUCUGAGGAAAGAAUAGCCGAGGGAGGAAAUGCUCUUGGUUUGACGGUACCUCAGGAAUAAGCAACGGCUAACUCCGUGCCAGCAGCCGCGGUAAUACGGAGGUUGCAAGCGUUGUUCGGAAUUACUGGGCGUAAAGGGAGCGCAGGCGGUCCUGUAAGUCUAAAGUGAAAUCCCGGGGCUUAACCUUGGAAGUGCUUUGGAUACUGCCGGACUUGAGUACGUGAGAGGAGAGCGGAAUUCCAGGUGUAGCGGUGAAAUGCGUAGAUAUCUGGAGGAACACCUGUGGCGAAAGCGGCUCUCUGGCACGAAACUGACGCUGAGGCUCGAAAGCAUGGGGAGCAAACG
rnacentral:rRNA from 1 species